AUUGAACGCUGGCGGCAGGCCUAACACAUGCAAGUCGAGCGAGCGGCGGACGGGUGAGUAAUGUAUGGGGACUGCCCGAUAGAGGGGGAUAACGACCGGAAACGGUGGCUAAUACCGCAUACUAUCAGAUAACCUAGAUGGGAUUAGCUAGUGGGGGGGGUAAAGGCGUACCAAGGCGACGAUCCUUAGCUGGUCUGAGAGGAUGAUCAGCCACACUGGGACUGAGACACGGCCCAGACUCCUACGGAGGCAGCAGUGGGGAAUAUUGCACAAUGGGCGCAAGCCUGAUGCAGCCAUGCCGAGUGUAUGAAGAAGGCCUUAGGAUUGUAAAGUACUUUCAGCUGGGAGGCGUUACCCGCAGAAUAAGCACCGGCUAACUCCGUGCCAGCAGCCGCGGUAAUAC
rnacentral:rRNA from 1 species